AGGGCUCAUGUGACCAAUGUCCUUUUCAUUCAGGCCUAGGGAAACCAGUAUCUGCCAAAAAGAUUAGUGCUCCCAAAAGGGCAACCAUCUUCAGCAAGGCCUGUUGUACUGUGUCAAAUACAAAGCCAUCUUAAUAUGAAAAAAAGCAGGCAGAAAAGGGGAUAAUUGUAAUGAUGAAGAUAGAGUCAAUCAUUCUUCCUUGUUAUUUGGACUACACGGAUCUGGUCAUGCUGUGGUUCAGCUCUUGACCCAGAGAAUAUGAGCACAUGUAACCACAACCUAAUGUAAUGGAGUUCUAGGUCCUGCCCUAGCCUUAUAUAACCUCCCAUUUAGAAUGUGUAUAACAUUGGGUAAAGUGAUGGACCUCAAUGAAAUAACAUUACAUGUAGUUCUAUGCUUCAAGUAAAUGCUUGGAUAUUAUGAUUUUGUAACAGAAGUCAUGGGGUUUGAAAUGGCUAUUUCUUUAACCUUUGGCCCAUCUCUUUUAUAAUAAAAGCAGGCCAUCAAAUGAAGUGCUGGUUCUUAGGAGAGAGAUGGCGUCAAGCCAACUGCAAAGAAGGUAAGACUGAAAGGAAGGGCAUAUCCUUUUACUAACCCAGGGAGAAGAGUCUGUCAAAAUUGGUUCUGGCACAAAAGAUGGAAUAAAGCUUUAAAAAUGGU
ensembl:lncRNA SNHG22 small nucleolar RNA host gene 22